rnacentral:rRNA from 1 species
GGCCUACGGCACCUAUGCCGCCCGGGGGAUGGCUCGGCUCGGGCGCCGAGGAAGGGCGUGGCAAGCUGCGAUAAGCCCGGGGUAGGCGCAGGCAGCCGUCGAACCCGGGAUCCCCGAAUGGGACUUCCCGCUGCGGGCGAAGAGCCCGCAGCGCCCCCGUUUGGGGGCGGGAACCCCCCGAAAGGAAGCAUCUGAGUAGGGGGAGGAGAAGAAACCAACAGGGAUCCCCUGAGUAGGGGCGACCGAAAGGGGGAGAGCCCAAACCAAUCCCCCACGGGAGGACCGUGGGGGGAUGAGGGGUUGCGGCCCUGCGGCUGGGGCUUCGAGCCCCGGCGGGCCGACCCACGGUAGCCGAAGUGGGCUGGAAUGCCCCGCCGUAGAGGGUGAUAGCCCCGUAGGCGAAACCGUGGGGGCCCGUGCCGCAGGGCAGAGUACCACGGCUUGGUAUUGCCGUGGGAAGCUGGGAGGAACCGACUUCCAAGGCUAAAUACGUCCCGAGACCGAUAGCGAACUAAGUACCGUGAGGGAAAGCUGAAAAGAACCCCGGGAGGGGGGUGAAAAGAGCCUGAAACCGGGCGGCGACAUACGGUGCGGCCCGAAAGGGGUGAAACCCCCGAAGGAAACCCGGGCGACCGGGGAGUACGAGGGGGAUGGACCGGGGUCGCACCGUCCGUCUUGAAACACGGGCCGGGGAGUUCACGGCCGUGGCGAGCUUAAGGGGGUCAACCCCGUAGGCGCAGGGAAACCGACAGGCCCGCAGCCGGGGGCGACCCCGGCGAGGGGCGGGGUCCUAAUAGGGCCCGGAGUCACGGCCGUGAGACCAGAAACCGGGCGAUCUAGGCGGGGGCAGGGCGAAGCCGGGGGAAACCCCGGUGGAGGCCCGCAAGGGUGCUGACGUGCAAAUCGCUCCCCUGACCCCCGUCUAGGGGUGAAAGGCCAAUCUAGCCCGGAAGAUAGCUGGUUCCCGCCGAAGUGGCUCGCAGGCCAGCCCCGCCGGAGGCCGGGCCGUGGGGUAGAGCUACUGAUUGGGCGUGCAGGGGGCGUAAAGCCCCCGGCGCCCAGUCAAACUCCGAACCUGCGGCCGCCGUAGAUGGCGGGAGUGGGGUUCCCCGGGGUAAGCCCGGGGGCCGAGAGGGGAACAACCCAGACCGGGGUUAAGGCCCCUAAGUGCCGGCUAAGUGCCAAGCCAAAGGGCGUCCCCCGCCUAAGACAGCGGGGAGGUGGGCCUAACAGCAGCCAUCCUCUAAAGGCGGGUUACCUCACCCUUCCAGGUGCUGGGUUUAACUGAAUCUUAGUAUUACAUUUUGUAGUUCAUGCCAGGAUAGGGUAGAAGGUACUAGUCUAAUAGGAUUUAGGCAUCCUCAGAAGUCAGGGCGUGCAUUUAGACUCUUAACGAAGUUUGGUCAUGCUAAUUAUUAUUUCCCUUUGGGUGGGGUGCCCGCCGGAGAGGGAGUGCGUAACAGCUCACCCGCCGAGGCGGGGGGCCCCGAAGAUUGGUCGGGGCUUAAGCCGGCCGCCGAGACCCCGGGCCGCGGCUCCGAUGGAGCCGCGUGCGGUAGGCGGGCGUCGGGGUGGCGUAGAAGCCGGGCCGCGAGGUCCGGUGGAGCCGCCCCGAGCGCGGAUCCCGGCGGUAGUAACAGCGAAGCGGGGUGAGAAUCCCCGCCGCCGGAAAGGGCAAGGGUUCCCCGGCAAUGGUCGUCAGCCGGGGGUCAGCCGGUCCUAACCGGGACCGUAACACGGAUCCCGGGAAGGGGAAACGGGUUAACAUUCCCGUGCCGCGGGGGUACGCUUCGCGGCAACGCAAGGCCCCACCCCCGACGCCUCGGGGUAGGCGGACCGGGGGCCCCCUUAGGGGGGCGACCCGGCUAACCUGCCGAAGGCCGGGGAGUGCCGUAACGGCGAGAACCGGCCGAAGGGGGGAAUGGCCCGCCUAUGGCGGGUUCCGCCGACCCCUGGGGCCCUUGAAAAGGGGGUGGGGAAGGAUCCCCCGCGCCCGUACCGAGAACCGACACAGGUGCCCCUGGGUGAGCAGCCCAAGGCGUCUGGGGGCUAACCCGGGCCAGGGAACUCGGCAAAUUGGCCCCGUAACUUCGGGAGAAGGGGUGCCUGCGGUCCUGGGGCUCGAACCCUGGGACCGCAGGUCGCAGUGCCUAGGGGGGCCUGACUGUUUAACAAAAACAUAGCUCCCCGCUAGCCCGAAAAGGGUGUGUACGGGGGGUGAGCCCUGGCCACUGGCGGUCCGUGAAACCGGGGUACAACCCGGCGAAGCGCCGCUGAAGGCCGGGAGUAACCCUGACUCUCUUAACGGGGGUUAUCCACCGCCAGUCACAGUAUAUAUUAGGGUUUUGGUUUCUUGGCUUCUUAUUGAGGAUAGAUUAGAGUGGAUCAGUGUCUACUGGAGGGAUAUGUGGCGGGAAUAAUAGAUGCCGAAGCUAGCCUCUCAGUAAGCAUAAAAAUUCAAGAGGAUCUAAGAUGUCGUGUGCGCGUCGAUCCUGUGUUCAGUAUAACACAAGACAGCAAAGACGUGUUAAACGUGGUGAAAAACUACUUUGGCUGUGGCAGGUUGAUGCCGAAACCAGGUCAAGAACAUCUAACAUUAUAUGUGGUUGAUAGGCUAGAGGCUCUUGCUGAUUGUCUAAUCCCUAAAUUGGAUCGUCUACCAUUAAUCGUCAAGAAAAGAGGAUUCGAGAUGUUCCGUGAGAUUGUAUUAACGUUAACCCGAAUGAAAUAUAGACGAGUCGAGUGCUGCGUCAUAAGAGACUUGGUAUUGAAAUCGUACUCCCUAUCUAGCCUAAAUAAAAAGUCUAAGCGAAAACGCUCGCUAGAAGAAAUUUUGAAGAUUAUUCCUUGUGAUAAGGCGGUGGAGCCCCCGGGAGAAAGGUAGCCAAAUGCCUUGCCGGGUAAGUUCCGGCGCGCAUGAACGGGUCAACGAGGUCCCCACUGUCCUGGCCCGGGGCCCCGUGAACCCCCUGAGCCGAUGCACAGUCCGGCAUCCCCCCGCAGGGAGAGAAGACCCCGUGGAGCUUUACCGCAGCCCGGCGUUGGCCCCCGGGCGGGGGUGCGUAGCGUAGGUGGGAGCCGAUGAGCCACCCUCUCCGGGGGGUGGGGAGGCGUCCAUGAAACACCACCCACCCCCGCCCGGGGGCCUAACCCCGCCCCGGGUGGGCGGGGGACAGCGUCGGGUGGGCGGUUUGGCUGGGGCGGCACGCCCGCGAAAGGGUAACACGGGCGCCCAAAGGUCGGCUCAGGCGGGUCAGAACUCCGCCGUAGAGUGCAAGGGCAAAAGCCGGCCUGACCGGACCCCUGAAAGCAAGGGGUCCGGCCGGGAAACCGUGGCCUAGCGCACGCUCGUGCCCCCUCGGUGGGGGCCGGGCACGACAGAAAAGUUACCCCGGGGAUAACAGAGUCGUCGCGGGCGAGAGCCCCCAUCGACCCCGCGGUUUGCUACCUCGAUGUCGGCUCUUCCCAUCCUGGGGGUGCAGCAGCCCCCAAGGGUGGGGCUGCCCGCCCAUUAAAGGGGAACGUGAGCUGGGUUCAGACCGUCGUGAGACAGGUCGGUCUCUACCCGCGGGGGGUGUGGGCCGCCUGAGGGGAAGGUGCCCUUAGUACGAGAGGAACGGGGCGCCGCGGCCUCUGGUGUACCGGUUGUCCUGGUGGGCAACGCCGGGCAGCUAAGCCGUAGGGGGUAACCGCUGAAAGCAUCUAAGCGGGAACCCCUCCCCGAAAAGAGGCGGCCGUUGGGCGCCGGCCUGGUGCCGGCGUCCACGAGGGCUCCCGUAGAAGACGGGGUUGAUGGGGCGGGGGUGUGAGCCCCGAGGGGGCUUAGCCCUCGAGGGGUGUAGCCCGCCGCUCCCAAUCGCCCGAGGCCGUAGGCU